CAGACUUCUUUGAGAAAACUAACAUAAUACUUAAGUAUUAUUAGAGUCUAGUACCUCCUCAAAGCUU
rnacentral:tRNA from 1 species